rnacentral:rRNA from 1 species
GAACUGAAGAGUUUGAUCAUGGCUCAGAUUGAACGCUGGCGGCAGGCCUAACACAUGCAAGUCGAGCGGAUGAAGGGAGCUUGCUCCUGGAUUCAGCGGCGGACGGGUGAGUAAUGCCUAGGAAUCUGCCUGGUAGUGGGGGAUAACGUCCGGAAACGGGCGCUAAUACCGCAUACGUCCUGAGGGAGAAAGUGGGGGAUCUUCGGACCUCACGCUAUCAGAUGAGCCUAGGUCGGAUUAGCUAGUU